GGUCGCACAGAAAGAAUAAGUAACUUACAUUAUUUCCGUUUUAUUGAUUAUCUGAGGCUGAACGAUCUUUUAUUUUGAAAAAUGACCGGCUUCUCUCCGUUACAUCCGUCUAUGAUUCACUCUUGACGCAUGUCAAGAGGCUUGUCUCGGUCACGUGAUACGUGACCGCUAAAAAUAAACGCACAAGCUAGCACAAUUAGUAAAAAAAAAAAAACCAAAACAACCGUCUCUGGAAAGGGGAAAGGCCCUAGAUGGCACCGUCUCGUUUCAAAGGAACAGGCUCAGGACUGCCACUGAUUCAGCGUUAUGGAAGCGUGAAGGAAGGCUCCAAAGUUCCUAAUGAAUGCAACUGUGAAGCACCAUACAAGGCAAAAGGAUCCUUGGUUGCAUCCAGGCCAACCAAACAUCAAGAAAGGAGGAUGACGAGGAGAAGGCCGAUGGUUUGUGUGAGCAGACGGAGCAUGUAGUCACCGUCUGUGGAUGCGGCGAUGGUGGCUCCCACUGUAUGAAUACUCUUUGGAUAAGAGGAGCUGUGUGCUCCCUCAGCUCCCUGCAGUUGGCUGAAAGGAGGUUUCCAUCUUCUGGGAACAGAUGGACACCAGACCUCCACAGCUGGGGAGACCUGUUGGAAAGGCUCACGGCUGACAGCUCGCUGUGGCGCUGAGCGCUGCUCUCUGGGGAGGCCUCACACACAGAGAGGGAGGGAGGGGAAAAAAUAUCUCCACAAAAUGGAAGAAAAAAUUUUUUGGAGGCAGUCAGGUCUGCCCAUUCUGGGAAAGCAGGCUGGAGACAAACUAAACAAGCAUCAGUUCUGGAGAAGGAAGCGUUGAUCUGCGGCCUGGUGAAGGUGGUGCUUGGUACGCCACGUUACUGCACGUUGUCCAACACCUCAGGCGCCACCUUUUCCCCCCUUCUCCUCGUCAGCAUGAGGGUGGUGGAGGACGCUGCGGUAUGAAAGCGUGCUCGUAACACUGGGCCUAUUCACUCUGUCCGUGCACCAUCAGCAUUUAAAGAAGACAGGCAGAACUGUUUGGGAUUCCCAGCACACGGCCGCUCCAAAGUAUGAAACCUGAACACUUCUGUUCAGUGUGAGCACAGGUGGAGUAAAUAUUACUGCUCAUGACUGACAACAUGGAGGCCAAAGCUGUGCUAUGUAGCACGAAUGCUUCAAAGGAUCAGAAUUCUUGUCUGGGUGAAGGUUUUUCUUUAACAGACUGGAGUUUGAGAAACACAGACGCUCUUAGAAGCAGCAGCUGGUUUUUACUACUUUGUACUACAUUUCACUGGCAAAUGUCACACUUUUGUCUCCACUACAUUUAUUUGUGUAUAAUAUGUGAAUAACACUUGUGUAUUGUGUAUAUUUAAGACAAACUAUCAACUAAAAUCUAUCUAACAAAAGGUGAGA